rnacentral:piRNA from 1 species
UAGUGCAAAACUGUUAUCUGAAUAAUAGU